UGAGGUAUGGUAGAUCAGAGGUUGAGGUAUGGUAAAUGAGAGGUUGAGGUGUGGUGGAUCAGAGGUUGAGGUAUGGUGGAUCAGAGGUUGAGGUAUGGUAGAUCAGGGGUUGAGGUAUGGUAGAUGAGAGCUUGAGGUAUGGUAGAUCAGAGGUUGAGGUAUGGUGGAUCAGAGGUUGAGUUGAGGUAUGGUAGAUCAGAGGUUGAGGUAUGGUGGAUCAGAGGUCUCUGAGGUAUGGUAGAUCAGAGGUUGAGGUAUGGUGGAUCUGAGGUUGAGUUGAGGUAUGGUGGAUCUGAGGUUGAGUUGAGGUAUGGUAGAUCAGAGGUUGAGGUAUGGUAGAUCAGAGGUUGAGGUAUGGUGGAUCAGAGCUUGAGGUAAUGUAGUGAGAGAUUGAGUUGAAGUAUGGU
ensembl:lncRNA